UACGUAGGGUGCGAGCGUUGCCCGGAUUUAUUGGGCGUAAAGGGCGCGUAGGCGGUCACGCACGUCCGUUGUGAAAUCGCUCGGCUCAACUGGGCGGGGUCAGCGGAUACGGCGUGGCUGGAGCAAGCUAUGGGGCAAUGGAAUUCCCGGUGUAGUGGUGGAAUGCGUAGAUAUCGGGAGGAACACCAGUGGCGAAGGCGGUUGCCUGGAGCUUUGCUGACGCUGAUGCGCGAAAGCGUGGGGAGCGAUCCGG
rnacentral:rRNA from 1 species